AUCUUUCUAGUAUUAGUCCCAGUAUAAGUGACUUCCAAUCACCAGGCCUUGGUUAGAAUCCAAGGAAAGAUA
rnacentral:tRNA from 1 species